UGAGUCGGCCGGGCGGCCGCGGCAUCUCACGAUGUCGAGGAAAGUCCGGACUCCGUAGAGCGACGGUGGUGGCCAACAGCCACCCACGGCGACGUGCGGGACAGUGCCACAGAAAUCAAACCGCCAGCGGCCUUCGGGUGCGGGUAAGGGUGAAACGGUGAGGUAAGAGCUCACCAGCGCUCCGGGUGACCGGGGCGGCUAGGUAAACCCCACCGGGAGCAAGACCAAGAGGACCUUCGGGUCUGCGCUGACGGGCUGCUCGUCCAAUGUCAGCGGGUAGGUCGCACGAGGCGUUCAGCAAUGGACGUCCCAGAUGGAUGGUCGCCCACGACAGGAUCCGGCUUACAGGCCGGCUCAUUCG
rnacentral:RNase_P_RNA from 1 species